rnacentral:lncRNA from 1 species
GUGGAGGCAGUAUGCAGUGCUUCGAAUUGCAGAGGGUCAGAUCCUGCUCCUGGCAGAACGUCUCUCAACCAAAGAGCCCAUCAGAAGGCUUCGUCCCGUCUGAUUUUCCUGUAACUAAACAGGAGGAAGGUACCAGCAAGUUUCUGUCUAGAAGUGAGGAGAUCUUUUCAGUGGGAAAGAAGGUUUCAGUGUGGGAAGUACUGAGAACCCCCGAUGAGCGAUUUGAUCUUCUUUGCAUCAAAGCAGGACACCAGGAAAGGGAAUACCAGGACUACAUGAAAAUGUCAUUGUGUUAA